AAAAUAAAAUCAAGUUCGAAAAAUAUUGCAACAAUCGUAGUAUUUUUAUUUCGAAUAUGGGAGUGUUACAAUCUCUCUGGAUCCUCUGAUUCUUCUUUCCAAUAGUAAAUAAAUUCAAGGGCCCUUGAUCUUGAUCUUGAAUCUAUGUUUGUUGUCGCGAAUGAUGAUCUUGUUCUUGAGCUUGAGCUUGAUUGCUUGAACUUGAUCUUGAAUCGUUCUUCUUUCUUGAGCUUGAACUUGAACUUGAUUGCUUGAAUCUUGAAACUUGUGGAGGAAUUUGCACUGUUUGAUCCACGAGCUCUUUCU
rnacentral:lncRNA from 1 species